rnacentral:rRNA from 1 species
CUACGGGAUGCACCAGUGGGGAAUAUUGCACAAUGGAGGAAACUCUGAUGCAGCAACGCCGCGUGGAGGAUGACACUUUUCGGAGCGUAAACUCCUUUUAUAUAGGAAGAAGAUGACGGUACUAUAUGAAUAAGCGCCGGCUAACUCCGUGCCAGCAGCCGCGGUAAUACGGAGGGCGCAAGCGUUACUCGGAAUCACUGGGCGUAAAGAGCGUGUAGGCGGAUUAAAAAGUCAGAAGUGAAAUCCUAUAGCUUAACUAUAGAACUGCUUCUGAAACUCUUAAUCUAGAAUAUGGGAGAGGUAGAUGGAAUUUCUGGUGUAGGGGUAAAAUCCGUAGAGAUCAGAAGGAAUACUGAUUGCGAAGGCGAUCUACUAGAACAUUAUUGACGCUGAGACGCGAAAGCGUGGGGAGCAAACAGGAUUAGAUACCCCUGUAGUC